CAAGGAAUUUUGUGCAAUGGGCGAAAGCCUGACACAGCAACGCCGCGUGAGGGAUGAAGGCCUUCGGGUUGUAAACCUCUUUUAUCAGGGAAGAAUAAUGACGGUACCUGAGGAAUACGCUUCGGAUAACUACGUGCCAGCAGCCGCGGUAAUACGUAGGAAGCGAGAGUUAUCAGAAUUUACUGGGCGUAAAGUGGUCGUAGGCGGCCUUUCAAGUUUGAUGUGAAAUCUCCUGGCUUAACUUGGAGGGGUCAUGCAAAACUGCUAGGCUGGAGUACAGCAGGGGAAAGUGGAAUUCCCGGUGUAGUGGUGAAAUGCGGAGAUAUCGGGAGGAACACCAGUGGCGAAGGCGGCUUUCCAGGCUGUUUCUGACGCUGAGGCCCUAAAGUGUGGGGAGCGAACA
rnacentral:rRNA from 1 species